rnacentral:rRNA from 1 species
UGCGGAAUAGCUCCGGGAAACUGGAAUUAAUACCGCAUACGCCCUACGGGGGAAAGAUUUAUCGGGGAAGGAUUGGCCCGCGUUGGAUUAGCUAGUUGGUGGGGUAAAGGCCUGCCAAGGCGACGAUCCAUAGCUGGUCUGAGAGGAUGAUCAGCCACAUUGGGACUGAGACACGGCCCAAACUCCUACGGGAGGCAGCAGUGGGGAAUAUUGGACAAUGGGCGCAAGCCUGAUCCAGCCAUGCCGCGUGAGUGAUGAAGGCCUUAGGGUUGUAAAGCUCUUUCACCGGAGAAGAUAAUGACGGUAUCCGGAGAAG